rnacentral:rRNA from 1 species
GAUGAACGCUAGCUAUAGGCCUAACACAUGCAAGUCGAGGGACCGGCGCUCGGGUGAGUAAUGCGUAUCCAACCUGCCCAUAACUAAGGGAUAAUCCAGCGAAAGUUGGACUAAUACCUUAUGGUUAUGGAUGGGGAUGCGUCUGAUCAGCUUGUUGGCGGGGUAACGGCCCACCAAGGCAACGAUCAGUAGGGGUUCUGCGAGGAAGGACCCCCGCAUUGGACCUGAGACCCGGUCCAAACUCCUACGAGAUGCAGGAGUGAGGAAUAUUGGUCAAUGGACGCAAGUCUGAACCAGCCAAGUAGCGUGCAGGGUGUCGGGCUAUGGGUUGUAGACUGCUUUUAUAUGGGUAUAGGUACCAUAUGAAUAAGGACCGGCUAAUUCCGUGCCAGCAGCCGCGGUAAUUC